AAGAAAGGGGUUCCGGUUUACGUGAUGAUGCCGUUGGAUAGCGUGACGAACGGGAAUACGGUGAAUAGAAAGAAGGCGAUGAAUGCGAGUCUCCACGCGCUGAAAAGCGCGGGAGUGGAGGGGAUAAUGAUUGACGUUUGGUGGGGUCUGGUGGAGAGGGAAGCGCCGGGUGCUUACAAUUGGGGUGGCUACGCGGAGCUUCUCGAGAUGGCUAAGAAGCAUGGCCUUAAAGUCCAGGCUGUCAUGUCAUUCCAUCAGUGUGGGGGCAACGUCGGUGACUCUUGCACGUUCGUAUCUCCUCCUUACCUCUCUUUACUGUUUAACUUUUAAAAUUUAAACCCUUCUUUUUCUUCAAGAUCCCGUUACUCAGCUUAUGUAAAUUUUAUUUAAAAAAAUAGUAAUUUUAAAUUAAUUUUUGUGGGGAUGGGAUCCCUUUUUGAAAAUCAAGAAGAAAGAAAGUUUACACGUUUGAUUAAUUAUUGAUUACAAGUCAAUCAUUUGCUUAUUUUUGAAUUUGAAAGAGACGAUCAGAUGAACCAACGUUUUUAAAAAAAAAAUUUAGAUGAAGGGAUAACGUAAGCUUUCAUUGCAUCUUUUUACAAAAGUUGGGUAAAAAGGGGACCGAAAGAAAUUAAAUUUGAAGAUAGAUAUNNNNNNNNNNNNNNNNNNNNNNNNNNNNNNNNNNNNNNNNNNNNNNNNNNNNNNNNNNNNNNNNNNNNNNNNNNNNNNNNNNNNNNNNNNNNNNNNNNNNGAACCUAUUUUAGAAGUUCAUGAAUCAGAACAAUUUUUUUUGACGGAGGGUACGGUGGUAGCUUUCAUUUCUCUCCAUCUCUCCAGGCAGGGAAUAUGGGGUUUGUAUGGAAAUUUUCAUAAGCCCCCAUACGGUGGUCCAAAUCCUGUAUUUUUUAUCUAAAUCUUUAUUGAAUCAAAUACUGGGAUGUAUUGAUUUGAUGUUAUGGAGCUACUCUUUUAAAAAGAAAAAUAUGGUUGUUUUUGUACAGUAUUCCUUUGCCCAAGUGGGUUACAGGGGAGAUCGAGAAGGACCCAGACCUCGCAUACACUGAUCAAUGGGGAAGAAGGAACUACGAAUACCUUUCACUUGGUUGCGAUACCCUUCCUGUCUUGAAAGGCCGUACGCCUGUUCAGUGUUAUGCUGAUUUCAUGCGUGCCUUUAGGGACAAUUUCAAACACCUCCUUGGUGAUACCAUUGUGGUAAUUCUUCUAAUUUACUAAUAAUUGUUGAUCCCAUUUUGUCUCAUCCUCUUUGAAGAAUUCAACUGCUAAGGAAUUACCAUUAUUUUUCACUACAGGAAAUCCAAGUCGGAAUGGGUCCGGCAGGUGAGCUUCGGUACCCUUCGUACCCGGAGGCGAAUGGGACAUGGAAGUUCCCUGGAAUUGGAGCCUUCCAAUGUUAUGAUAAGGUACCCUGACAUUGCACUGCUCUCUCUUGUUUCUAUUUCAGAUUAGGUUCUGUUUUGGUGUUAAUAAUACGGAUGUUAUUUGAUGCAGUAUAUGCUUAGCAGCCUAAAAGCAGCGGCUGAAGCGGCGGGUAAGCCAGAAUGGGGUAGCACUGGCCCAACUGAUGCUGGUCACUACAACAAUUGGCCAGAAGAUACGCCUUUUUUCAAGAAAGAAGGUGGUGGUUGGAAUACUCCAUAUGGUGAAUUCUUCCUUACCUGGUACUCUCAGAUGCUGUUAGAACAUGGGGCGAGAAUUCUAUCGUCCGCAACAUCGAUUUUUGACGGUGCAGGUGUGAAGAUCUCUGUGAAAGUUGCGGGAAUCCACUGGCAUUAUGGAACCCGAUCCCAUGCUCCUGAACUCACAGCUGGGUACUAUAACACAAGGUUCCGAGAUGGUUACCUCCCGAUCGCUCAAAUGCUAGCACGUCAUGGUGCCAUUUUCAACUUCACUUGCAUAGAGAUGCGGGAUCAUGAGCAGCCCCAAGAUGCCUUGUGUGCACCUGAGAAGCUAGUGAAGCAAGUUGCUUUAGCAACAGGAGCAGCACAAGUUCCACUUGCCGGGGAGAAUGCACUUCCCCGUUAUGAUGAAUACGCCCACGAGCAGAUCUUACGAGCUUCAUCGUUGAAUGUCGAUGGCUCAGCAGUUGAUAGAGAGAUGUGUGCAUUUACGUACUUGAGGAUGAACCCAUCGCUCUUUCAUCCGGACAAUUGGAGACGGUUUGUUGCAUUCGUGAAGAAGAUGAAUGAGGGAAAAGGAGCUCGUCGGUGUUGGGAAGAGGUGGAGCGGGAAGCCGAACAAUUCGUGCAUGUCACGCAGCCUUUCAUUCAGGAGGCCGCCGUUGCCCUUAUGCAUUAGCGUAGCUUAGUAAAGAGUUUGUAUUAAUAACAGUUCCUCCAGGAUUCUGAAAUGAUAUAGUUUUUCCUUUCACAUUUUUUUCCUAUGCAGUGGCUAGGGAAAAAAUGCAUGUUGUAUAAUUUGGUAUUCGAUUUUACUUUGUACCAAAUAGUUCCAACUCUUUCCAAUUUUAAGCAAGGAUGAUAUACAUUAGAUUAUUUAUUUGCCUUUUUUUAAAAGAUAUUAGGAUUUGAAUUUUUUAAAGAAAGGAUUUUACGUUUAUAAAUAUGGUAAAAGUAUCACAAUGUUUAUAAACUACUGUUAAAAUAUAUUUGUAUAUUUAAAUUUAGUCUUCAAUUUUUAUAUAUUUAUGUAAUUUAAUCUAUUCUUUGAUUGAAAGUAAAUUAAAAAAUUUCGAAUCUAGUUGCCUGGCUAGCAAAUUAAAAAAAAAAAAUCUAAGCUCUCAUAAAUUUUUAAAAAAUUAUAAAUUAAUUGUUAAAAAUUUAGAAUUAAAAUUUUUUAUUAAAGCAUUAAAAAGUUUCUAAUUUUAAAAUUAUAAAAAUUUGGUGUAAACAUAUUGAAAGUUUCUUAUUAGUUUUAUAAUUUUAAAAUUAUAAAAGCUAUAUAAAAAAUUGAUAAAUACAGAUACAUAUUCAAAUAACUAUAAAAUAGAAUUAAAUUAGUUAACAUCCUCUAAAUUUAAUGACAAAAACAUUUAUGUCGUGACACGGGAGCUUAGGUUGAAUUACUAGCAACUCCAUCCUUACCCUCAAUUAUUAAAAAAUAGAAUCAAAUUAUUUAUAGAUGAAGAAUAAAAAUGGCUAUGUAGUGAAGGGUGAGUAUUUGUUCCGCGUAAAAAUAUAUGGUACACUAUUUUUAAAAAAGGUAUAUGAUAAUUUUUUAAAACUGUUUGUAGUAAAAAAACAAUACACCACACCGUACUUAUACUUUUAAAAAAAAAAUUAAAAUAGUUGGAUUUGGUUGCUUUUUAGAAUGAAAAAUUACCGAAAGGAAGCGUGGGAUACUUUGGAAGAUAAAUUUUUGGAGAGGAAGUUUGAGAUCCGAGUUCAACAAAAGGAACUCUUUUUGAACUUUGACCAUAAGAGGUAUUGGAAAAUCAUGGUUUGAAACAAAAUUGGAGUGUCUGAAUAUCAAAUACUCUUAAGAGAGUUCUACAUUCUAUAUGAUGACAACAGAUUUGCUUCCCAUCAAACAUAUAUCCCAUUUCUUCCAUCUUUCAAUUACAAAAUAAAUUAAACCUCAAAUUCAAUCUCUUGAUAAAAGUAUCAUUAAAGCUCUUGUGAUAGGAGUUAGAUUAUAUUUUACUUAAUUAAUAUAUGUUUGAUCAAAGAACAAAUUAAUCAGGCAGUGACACAAAUGGAUCAAUUUGUUCUUUAAUUUAAUAUAUAAUGGUUAAUUUACUUAUGUUUUGAGUAAAAGAGGAAAAAUGCAAUUCAACUCUUAAUACAAAUAUUUCCACGAUACUAUGAGGGAGUCCAUUUAGUGCUUACCGGGCAUGUUCCUAUGGCUUUUGCUACGGAGGCUUUGGCAUGUUCUUAUGUCGUUCGCUUAGCUGCUGAUCUCAGCCUGCAUAAGGUGACUUUUGAAGGGGAUUCACUUAGUGUUAUUCGCAAGGCCUGCUCUCCUCUACACAAUGUCUCGGCGGUGGAAUGGCUUUUGCUACGGAGGCUUUGGCAUGUUCUCAUGUCGUUUGUUUGCUCAUAUUCCUCGCGAUUGCUCAUAUUCCUCGCGAGGGUAAUACUAUAUCUCAUUUGCUGGCUACGACGAGGCUAGUGGUUCUUCUUUUCUGAGCGGUGUCGUCCCUAGUUUUGCUUCUCUCGUAGUGGAAUGGGAUCGACAGGAUAUCGAUUUGAACGAGAAUGACGAUUAAGGUGGUUUGUACAUAUCUUGUUCUUUAGAUGGGUCUUUGGCAAGGGGAUGGUAAUGGGGUUCACUGUUUCGAUUGGUUUUCGGGGGAUCUGUCGAUCUAGGCAUCGAGGGGGUUGUCCGUGAUUAGCUAUUGUUGACGGUGGUCACCUCUUGUUCUCUACUCUAGCUAUUUGGCGAGCUUGGCUCCAUUUCACAUGGCUUUGGUUGCUAAGGGCCAUAGCUUGUUUUGUUGACAACUCCUUCUAGGAUUUGGAAUGCCUUUCCUUUUUUGGUUGGGAGCUGCUCAAACUGGGUUUUUCUGUUUUGUUUUCUUUGUUUUGGGCUUGGCCCGUUGUAACGCUCAAGUUUGUGCAAGUGUACAUAGUCGUUAUCAAGUAAUAAGUAAGUAUCGAGUUAUCAUCUCCACAGGGAUUGUAUUUGUGCUAAGUCACUUAAUUUGUAAAAUUAUAUUAACAAUUUGAAAAAUAAAAAUAUAGUUGAGAAGUGGUAUAAACUAGAUGCAAUGAUCCCUAAUGUAAAUUAUCCUAAUAUGCAGACUAUAUGAAUGGAAUAGAUUUUAGUAGAAUUUAACACAAUUUGCAACAAUUAUAACAUAAAUAAACUAGGACAAUUACUUUAAUUAAACUUAAUUUAUAAUCAUCAUGCUUAAUAAUAUUCGAAAAAACAUUCCAUGGCAACUCGAUCUUUCAUGAGUUUGGAAACCAAAUUAGGUCCUUUCGGAAUCCUUUCCUUAGUAAACACGCAUUUUACUGAUCCUUAUUUACAAAGGGUUUCUUAGCAUUCGUCUGAGGUAACAGGGACGUGUUAGGUUUGAAACAAUUUAAUCACACAAAUCUAAAAACUAUGCAGAUAACAGAGCCUGGUUAGGGUUGUUAUGCAACCUACAAUUUAAUCGGGUUAGGAUCUAAAUUGAGCAUGUACAUUUCAAUUAUGAGUCCAUUAGCCGUCGUCUGGUUAGGAUCGCUCAGCUAAUUCAGGUGCAUUUCAAUCACGUAUGAACGAAAUAUAGACUUGAUUUUAAUUGAAAACAUGAUUGACUGAGGCACAAACAUUAUAAGCAUGAAUCAAAUAAAUGUUAUUUAAUUAAAAUAAUCAUCCUAGCUUAAAUAAAAUUAAGCUAUCAUUGUUGUAAACAAGAACAAAGAACACAUAGCAAACAUCUCUGUAUUAAAUAAAAGAAAAGAAAGAUUAAACCCAAUUCAGAGUGGCUGUCACCCAAAACUCUGAUUGAUGAAGCUCCUUCGUUCCUUUACUUUGCUCCUAUGCUGAUGGCUCUCCAAGGUGGCCGACCAAGGGCUCUUUAAGAGGGUAAUUUGCUAAAAAUCCUUAUACAAGGAUGAUGCUCGGCGUGAGGGGGAAAAGCUAAGAGUGUUGAGAGAGGAGAGAAUGAUGAGGGAUGAGGGAUGAGGGAUGAGGGAUGAUUGAAAAAGUGAGAAAUGAGCUCUUAUUUAUAGGUGAUGUAAGGGAGCUAGUUUGCUAAAAAUAGUAGUGUCCAUCCUUUGAAACCUCCUCCAAGAGUGGUCGGCCAUGAAUUGAGGAAAUGUGGCUGAUUUUUCCUUAAUUUUUGGUCAAUUUGAAUGCCACAACAACUCAGGACUAAGACUCGGUCUUCAGCAAAUCUUCGGGAAAAUCUCUAAUUUCUUUAACUCUUCAAGGGCCUUAUGCAAUUAAACCAAAAAUUGGUUUAUAAUCAGCCAUGUGCAGCUGAAAAUUGGGUUGACUUGGUCCCCACUUUGGACGGUUUUGCAAUUAGAAGAAAAACUCUCAGACUUGUCAAAAAUAACAGAUAGUUUAGAGGACCAAAUGAAUUAAUUUAACCAUUUUAAUUAAUCAAUUUAAUUAUUUAAUUAAACCCAAUUUUAUUAAUGAAAUAUUUAAAAUGAAUUAUUAAAAUAUAACAUUAUAUUUUAUUAUUUAAUUCUAUCAUGCAUUGCCCAUUUCAUAACUUAAAAAUAUAAUAUGCUUAAAUUAAUAUAAAAUAAGCCAUUUUAUGCAUAAAAACUAUAUAAUAAAACAUAAAAUCACAUUUUAAUAAUUUUUAUGUCCUAAUUUCAUAUUUUCACAUAUUUCAUUAAUUUAUUAAACAAUUACUUGGUUUUAACAACAAUUUUAAGUAAAAAUGUGAUGAAUUAUAUUGGAAAAAUCCUAUAUACUUUUCCGUUUACACGCCCCCAAACUUAAAUCAUUGCUCGUCCCGAGUAAUGUUCAUGCACAACACAAGGUCUUGCUAAGGCAAAUUUUGCUAAGAGUGUAAGUAGCAUUAAUCUUCGUCUCAUAAUCAUGCAUCAACAAAUUCAUGCUCAUAGAUCUUCUUUAUUAAAAAGUAACUCAUAUACAAACAUUUUGAAAAUUUUAUUCUAAGUUUCAAGAUAUGCUAACAUGAAUCAUAGUUUGCAUGUAUGUCACAGCCAUAGAUAAUAUUCUUCAUUCAACACAAUUUCUCAUCAAUCAAGCAAACAAUCAUAAGGUUUAUUUAUGAUCUUUAUAUGUUGAACUUAAUACUUCCCCUCCAGUAAUGUAGGUGACAUAAUCAUCAAAUCAGUACGUCUUUUAUAAGGUUGUAAUAGGGCUAGGUCAAAGGUAAAGAUUCUAAGAGAUGAGAUAUUUUAGUUUCAAAAAUCUUAACCUUUAACUUGUCCUGGAUUUCUCGAAAUUCAACCUUUUUCUUCAAGUGAACCUUUGGAACACCCCCAAACUUAUUUUGAACUCAAGCUCAUACAUUUUUCCUUUUUGGAGAUUAGCAAACUUUUCUUUGCUCUUUCUUUAUCUUUGUGAUUUUUUUUAAGCAUGAGCACAUACAUCUUUAUGAAAAUUUCCUCAAAUGUUGAUUCCUAAGACACUUAAGUUAAGAUAGGUGUACAAAAUUAAGAUAAUUUAAAAAGAUGGUAACUGGCUUAUAAUGUAGGUUCAUUUCAAAAAUAGGCCUUAAAGCUAAAAAUUGUAGUUUCAAGGGUCUAAUAUCAUAAGGUGGGCUUGAAAAGGCUCAAACGAUCCAAAAAAAAAAUGGUGCCUAUAUCAUUUUAGAUUUUUAUGUCCCCUAGGAUUUCGCCUCAAGAAAGUUUCUAAGUCAAUUCUAAAGAUAUAAAGCUUCAUGCAUGUCUAUUCUUAAGAGAAACUAAGUUUUCAUGGCAAACAUUACCUAAGACUAAGAUCAUAAAAACAUUCCAUUUUUCAUGAUAACAUACAAUCACCCAAAUAAAAUCAUCAUUCAUGCUUGCAUACAAGCUAUCUUAUUAAAUAGAAUUUCUCUAAACAUUCAUUUAUUAAAACAUACUUAUGAAAGAAAUGAUUGAAACAUACUUAAAAAUUUUUAAAAUUUGAGCAAUUUAUUUGCCUUACCCCCUUAAAAAGAAGCAAUGUCCUCAUUGCAAGAGCAAAGUAAUGAAUGAAAACUGAACACCAGGUAGGGUUGUAAAGAAAGAGAGGCGAGUCACUAAAACUGCUUAAAUACCAAGUCUUUCUUAAUAAACCAAUCCUAGACAUGUUCAUUCCCAUUACCACAUCACUUAGUCUUAUUUUUUUAUAAGGAAGUGUUUAUUCAUGCUUGCUAUGUUUUAUUUUGUAGAAACUAAAUCCUAAUUACUAAAGAAAUAAAUUCCAAAAGACCUAAAAAUAAUUAAAUCAAUAACAAGGCAAGAAUCCCCCUUUUUAUUUUUCUGACUCAAUCCCCUUGUCUUCUUUAGCUCCAUCUCUACUUGCAUUGUCAGUAUCUUCCGUCUAUGUCUCAAAGAUAGCAUCUAGGAACUCAGGAAUAAAAGUGUUAGAGAUAUUCUUAAAAGUAUUUCGAAUUGAAUCAUCCUUAAUUUUUGCAUAUUUCUAGUAAGUUUGCUAUUGAUUUUGCAUGAACUUGCAGAUAUCCAUCAAAAUUGACAAAUCCAAUUUCUUCGAAGUACUUGCAGGAGUCGAUAUUGGAGUUGUAAAUUCUGGUUCAACACUUAGCUUGACUGGUCCUUCUUCUAGCUCAACCCUUGGUUUAGAGUUUUUAGUUCCUUCAGCUGGUUAAGGACUAUUUGGUUCCUUAUUAGAUUCUCCUUCUUCAAUGUUUGUAACUGAAUCAAAUUCAGUUUCAGUUUCAUUUGUUGACUCUUCGGUUUUUGGCUCAGUUGGCUCCUCUUGCUCGCAUUGGUUUAGCUCAUGCACUUUCUCUACUAACCUUUCAAGAUCAUGACUUGUGAUGCACCCUUGUACAUACUGCCCCUUCAGAUUUGCUUGUGUUUUAACACGGGCUCUUAAGCAAAGUGAAGUGAUUAAUGAUGGGAAAUAAGCACUUCCUGCCUUCUCUUUAGCACAAUCAUGAAUUCCUUGAGGAUAAUUUUCCCAACAUUAAUGGACUUCUAUGUCAAAAUUGCAUAUAACAAGAGCAUUUUUUCCAUCGAGAUGGUGGAACUAUGUGAGAUAGGCAUAAAACUGUAGCAAGCAAACAAAAUAUUCUCUUCGACAAGAAUGGCUCCCAUACUUUCUUAUAAUCCAUUGGGAUCCCAGAUUUGUCACAACAUUAAGUACUUGUUGAAGAAAAUCCCAAUUGAUAUUGUUCAUCAUUGGGUAGUACUCAUCUUCCUCAACAUUAGGUAAAUUAAAGAAAUCAUUGAUGGACUUAGAAGUAAGAGGUGCCUUUUUCUUUCGAACAAUGAAUUCAGUAACAUCUUGUGUAGUCAAACUAGCAUAGAAUUCCUGAACUAGUUCAUCAUCAGGAAGUGAACGAGCAUCACAGAAUUGUUUCCACUUGAGAACAUUGAUUAUCUUUCUAAUCGGCACAGGGACAAUCAUCACAUCAUUGCUCUUCAGGUUAAAACCUUUUUUCAACAUCAUAGGUUGAUGCUUGAAAAUUGAAUCAAAUCGCUGUUUCACUUCUUCAUCGAUCAAAAUUGGGUUUUCAGAAGUAGUUUUUGACGAUCUUGUUCUUUUCUGAGACAUGGUAUUUUCCCAAAAAUUCGGCAAAGUUUUUGCUUGCAGAAGCAAAAGAGAAAUCGACAAAAGAAAGUAGAACUUGCUUCAGCAAACUUGUGAUAGCAAAAGAGUUGCGGCGGCGGCAACAACGUGCAACAGCAAUGGUGGUGUGCGGCAGUGAUAACGACUGCUUCGAUAAUUCUCUUGCAACGGCACUAGGUAGUUUCGGCCAAAGAAAAGAAAAGGGCUAGAAAUUUCUUUCAGGAUUGGAGGUUGACGGCACAAAGAAGAGAUUUAGGGAUUUUAGAGUGGAAGCAAAUUGCUUUGAGGGAUAUGAAAAUUAGUAGAAUAAAGAGGGGUUUAUAUAGGAAAAAUUUAGGGUAACAUGUAGCAAAAAUUUAGCUACAUUAAAGUUAAUUGGGUGGCAAGUAAUGGGUGUGACGGUAAGUGUUAAAAUUUUCCUUCCUUUUCGUUAACUUGGGCUUCAAACUUAGACUGUAUCUUAAAAGAAAACUGAUUAGUACUUGGGCCAAACUUGACCCCCUUUAUUAACAAUAAAAUUUAAACAACAUAAAUUAAACUAUAGAAAAAAGAACAUUUUAAAACUUAAUUAGAAAAUUUCUUCUUAACAAAUUACAUUAAAUUAAUUCCCAUGAAAGGUUGGAGGGGUCACAGUGGUCCCGCUUAAGUUCCAAUCUCCUUAGACAGAAUUAAUUAAAUGUACUUAAUUAAGAAAAUAAAUUCUAAUUAUUUAUUUAUUUACAAGACGAGUUUAAGAAAAAUAAAGGGUCUGUUAAUUUGAACUAGGAUUCAACUCGCUCAACUUUACCAUCCCAGUAGUAUUUGAGACGUUGACCAUUAACUUUAAACAUACCUCCGUAAUUGUCGUACAAUUCAAUAGCUCCAAAAGGAUAAACUCGAUGGAUAGUAUAAGGUCAUUUCCAUCGGGAUUUCAGCUUCCCAGGAAAUAACUUCAGCCUUGAAUUAAACAACAACACUUUCUGACCUUCUUUAAACUCGCGAGGUUGUAUAUGACUAUCAUGCCAUCUCUUUCAUCUUUCUUUACACAUUUUGGGAUUCUCAUAGGAAAACAACCUCAGCUCUUCCAACUCAUCGAGUUGUAACAUCCUUCUCUCACCGGCUUGCUUAAGAUCAAAAUUUAACUGCUUCAAAGUCCAAUGAGCUUUAUUCUCUAAUUCUAAUGGCAAAUGACAUGCCUUUCCAAAGAUUAACCGAUAAGGAGUCAUUCCUAAAGGAGUCUUGAAUACUGUUCGAUAGGCCCAUAAUGCAUCAUCGAGCCUUCGAGACCAAUUUUUUCUGUUAGGGCGUACAACCUUUUCAAGGAUACCUUUGAUUUUACGGUUCACUCUUUCAACUUGCCCAUUAGACUGGGGGUGAUAGGCAGUAGCAAUCUUGUGCUUCACAUCAUAUUUGUCAAGCAACUACUUCGGCUAUUUGUUCACAAAGUGAGAACCUUCAUCACUAAUAAUAGCUCUUGGUGUCCUAAAUCGUGUAAACACAUGCUUAUGUAGGAAUCGCAUGACUACCUUAACAUCAUUUGUAGGGUAUGCUUCAGCUUCAACCCACUUGGAUGCAUAGUCCACAGCAACUAAGAUGUAUUUGUUCCCAUAUGAAAAAGGAAAUGGGCCUAAAAAGUCAAUGCCCCAUACGUCGAACAAUUCAAUCUCUAAAAUGUUUGUCAAUGGCAUCCCAUUCUUCCUUGAUAUAUUUCCAGUCCUUUGGCAUUUAUCACAGUUCUUCACAUAAGCAUAAGCAUCUUUAAAUAGUGUAGGCCAAAAGAAACCUGCUUGUAAAAUCUUUGUUGCGGUACGUGAACAACCAAAGUGUCCCCCACUUAGAGAUGAAUGGCAAUGAUAUAAGAUCUCAGCAAUCUCAAUUUCAGCCACACACUUUUGGAUUAUAUUAUUUGCACACUAUUUAAACAAAAAUGGAUCCUCCCAAAAAUAAUACCGACUAUCAUGAAGGAAUUUUUUCCUUUGUUAGUAUGUCAUUUAUCGAGGAAUUAUUCCACAUGCAAGAUAAUUGACAAAAUCAGCAAACCAAGGUAUUUCAUGAAUUCGACUUACCUCAAAUAAGUGCUCAUCUGGGAAAUUUUUGUUGAUAGGCACACCCGACUGGGUUACCUUAUCUUGCUCCAACCUCGACAGAUGAUCAGCUACUUGAUUUUCGACACCUACUCUGUCUUGGAUCUCAAGGUCAAAUUAUUGGAGUAAAAGUGUCCAACAAAUUAGCCUUGGUUUUGCAUCUUUCUUUGUGAGCAAGUAUUUAAUGGUCGCAUGGCCAAUAAAUACUAUAACUUUGGUACCUAUAAGAUAUGAACAAAAUUUUUCAAAAGCAAAAACUAUACCAAAUAGUUCCUUUUCAGUUACCGUAUAAUUGAGUUGGGCUCCCGUCAAGGUUCUACUUGCAUAGUAAAUGGGGUAGAACACUUUAUUUCUUUUUUGACCCAUCACAGCUCCAACAGUAUAAUCACUUGCAUCGCACAUCAACUCAAAAGGUGAGUUCCAAUCAGGGGUAACGAUUAUUAGGGCUGUAAUUAACCAACUCUUUAGAUCUUCAAAAGCUUCUACACAUGCUUUGUUGAAAUUGAACAAUGUAUCUUUCUUUAACAACAAACACAACAGCUUAGAAAUUUUCGAGAAAUCUUUGAUAAAUCUUCAGGAAAAAUCGACAUGGCCUAAGAAACUUUUGACUCCUUUUCACAUUAAUUGGGGCCGGUAAUCUUUCAAUUACGUCUACCUUUGCUUUGUCGACUUCAAUUCCUUUCUUUGAGAUCUUGUGACCUAAGAUAAUUCCUUCAUUGACCACAAAAUGACAUUUUUCCCAAUUAAAGAUAAGAUUCAUCUCUUCGCAUCUUUUCAGUACUUUAGCCAAAUUACUCAAACAAAUAUCAUAAGUGUUACCAAAAACAGAAAAAUCAUCCAUGAAAACCUCGACAAAAUUUUCAACCAUAUCAGUAAAUAUUGCCAUCAUGCAUCGUUGAAAAGUUGCAAGUGCAUUGCAUAAACUAAAAGGCAUUCGCCUAAAAGCAAACGUACUAUAUGGACAAGUAAAGGUUGUUUUAUGUUGGUCCUCUGGGGCUACAACUAUUUGGUUGUAUCCCGAAUAGCCAUCUAAAAAAUAAUAGAAUUCUUUACCUGCUAGUCGAUCUAACAUCUGAUCCAUAAAAGGCAACAGAAAAUGGUCCUUUCGAGUGGCUUUGUUUAACUUUCUGUAAUCAAUACAGAUUCUCCAACUGGUAACAGUUCUCGUUGGAAUUAACUCGUUACACUCAUUUUCAACAAUCGUGAUUCCACAUUUCUCCGGCACACACUGUACUGGACUUACCCACGAACUAUCUGAAAUAGGAUAGAUGACUCCCACAUCUAACCAUUUAAUCACUUCUUUUCUCACAAAUUCUUUCAUACUAGGAUUGAGCCUCCUUUGCCCAUCAAUUCGAACUCUUUCACCUUCUUCUAAAAUGAUUUUAUAUAUGGAAAAUGAAGGGCUUAUACCUCGAAUAUCAGCUAUGGUCCAACCAAUUGCUUUUUUAAAUUUCUUUAGAACAAUAAUUAGUUGCUCCUCUUGAUCUUUUGUUAGCUUUGUUGAAAUAAUCACAGGUAAAGUAAAACAGUCACCUAAAUGAACGUAUUUUAAAUAGGAAUGAAGUACCUUUAGUUCGAGUUUAGGUGGUUCUUCGAUUGACAACUUGGGUUGCAUAAAUUCUCUGACUUUCAACUCCAACGGUUCAAACCGUGUGGAUUGAAUAUAAUUUCUCGGAUUGGCUUCCAUCAAAGCCAUGUUUUCUUCACCUUCUUCAUCCUCCAAAGGGUCAAGAUCUAAAGCUCUCUUCAAUAGAUCUUCUUCAAAAUUGCUUUCCAUAGAAACCAAGGUUUCUAUCUCUUACAUAACUGAACACUCCUCUGCCAGAUCAGGAAAUUUCAUUGCUUUUAGAAUGUUAAAGGUUACCUGAUUGUCUUGAACUCGCAUGGUGAGUUCACCUUUCUGCACAUCAAUUAACGUUCUCUCUAUGUCUAGGAAAGGUCUCCCAAGGAUGAUCGACACUUCUUUGUCUGCUUCAAAAUCUAAAAUAAUGAAAUCAAUAUGAAAAUAAAUUUAUUAACUCUUACCAAGACAUCCUCGAUCUUUCAUUCGGGAUAUGCUAAAGAUCGAUCCGUUAGCUGAAGCGUCACAGUUGUAGGUCUUACUUCACCUAUCCCUAACAUCUUAAAAAUAUACUUAGGCAUCAAGUUGAUACUUGCUCCUAAGUCACACAAAGCUUUACCACAGUAAGAUUCACCAAUGUUACAGGGUAUAGUAAAGCUUCCUAGGUCUUUCAAUUUUGGUGGCAGUUUGUUUUUUAGGAGCGCACUGCACUCCUUUGUCAAAGCAACAAUCUCAUACUCACUCAGUCGUUUCUUCUUGGACAGUAUAUCCUUCAUAAACUUCACAUAAUUUGGCAUUUGUUCUAAAGCCUCCACCAAUGGAAUAUUGAUGUGUAACUGCUUUAGAACAUCCAAAAACUUCUUGAAUUGUACCUCCUGUUUUUGCUUGUGUUGUUGCAAUCUUUGUAGAUAUGGAGGUGAUGCAACUUUCAGUUGAACUAGACAACUUUUCUGAGUAGGUAAAUCUGCAUCCAAAGAAGAUGUUCAAAUAUCUGAAUUCACUAGGUCAGGGUUUACCUUGUCAGACUUUGCAGAUUCUGAUUCUUCUGGUGUAGGAACUUCAAUAGCUGGUUGACUUUCCUCCUUUUCAACAUGCUCCUCUUCGACAUCAAUUAAUCAAGGUUCUAGAGUUUUACCACUACGUAAUGCCACUACCUUGAUAUGUUCUUUACCCAAAUUUCUUGGAUUCUCAGUAUCACUCGGUAAGGUUCCUUGCGACCUAUUACGAAGCUUCGUAGCUAACUAACCCAUUUGGUUUUCUAAAUUUUUCAGUGUUGCUGCUUGGCUUUGGAUCAAAGCGUCAUUCUUUUCCAUGUACGCUUUCAACAACUUCUCCAAACUGUUUGAUGCCUCAGCUUGAGGUGGUUUUGGAGCUUGUUGAUUAAACCCUUGAGAUUGGUUGGGUCUUUGCUGCAAUAAGUUAUUGUUUGGUCCAUUUCCUUGUUGCUCCAAGAAAAGUUAGGAUGAUUACGCCAUGAAGGGUUGUAGAAGUUGGACUGGUGUCCUUGUCCACUCCUAUUUUGAUAUUGGUUCCCCACAUAUUACACUAACUCGGGAUUUGAUGGACAAUUCUCAAAAGAAUGACCUUCCCCACAGUACACACAGGAAACUACUUCAAACGGACUUGGUGGCUGAGCUGCAAAACUAUUAGUACUUUUAGCAGUUAACUGUUUAAACAUAGAGGAAAUGGACAAUCCCUGAGCUGAUAAUGAAGUGAGAGAGUCAACUUCAUGAACUCUGGUUACUCAUCUUCCUGAAGCUGUUCGAUUUGUUGGCCAUUGAUAGUUAUUACUCGCAAUCCUCUUGAUGAUCUCAUAAGCCUCAUUAUAAGACUUAGACAAAAUUGCACCAUUCACGGAAGCAUCUACCAUCAAUCUUGUAUGUGCAUUGAGACCAUUAUGGAAUGUCUCCAACUGGAUACAAUGAGGAAUCCCAUGAUGAGGACACUUACGAAGUAACUCCUUGAAUCGCUCCCAAGCCUCAUACAAAGACUCGUCAUCCAAUUGUUGGAAAGUUGUGAUCUCGUUCCUCAACUUAGCAUUUUUGCUAGGUGGAAAAUACUUAACCAAAAAUCUCUCUGCUAAUUCUUUCCAUGUAGAUAUGGAACUUGGUGGCAAUGAAUUGAGCCAUGCUCAUGCUUGAUCUCGCAACGAGUACGGAAACAACUUCAACUUCAGUGUGUCUUCAGUCACACCGGUUAUCUUAAAUGAAUCAACCACCCCCAUAAACAAUCGAAGAUGGAGAUGUGGAUCUUCCGUGGGAAUACCACUAAAUUGGCCCACCGUUUGUAGCAUUUGAAACAUCACUGGUUUCAAUUCAAACUGGGUUGCCUCAAUAUCUGACCUUCUAAUUCCUGGGUUUAACUCACUAAAAAGUGGAACAGCAUAUUUUCUGAUGCAUCGAUCCCUAUCAUCAGCAACAAGGAUGGGAUUUCGUACAUGACAUGCUUCAUUACCUUGGUCUUGAUUCUGAUUUCCAAGGUCCAUCUCGACUUGUCUUUGAGCAGUUCGUUCACGUCUUCUUCGUCUAAAAGUUCACUCAAUUUCAGGGUCUACAGGGAGUAAAUCGAUAAUUCGAUCUAUGCUCAUAAACACCUGAGAAGAAAUUCACAAAAAUUAAAAAGAAUAAGUUAGUAAUGUUAAAAAUAAAUCAAAUUGAAAAUAAAUACAUUCACAAAAAAAUGGCUAUGGAAACAGUUGACAAUCCACGGCAACGGCACCAAAAACUUGAAACGCUCGGGUUUGUCCAAGUGUACACAGUCGUUAUCAAGUAAUAAGUAAGUAUUGAGUUAUUGUCUCCAUAGGAAUUGUAUUUGUGCUAAGUCACUUAAUUUGUAAAAUUAUAUUAACAAUUUGAAAAAUAAAAAUAUAGUUGAGAAGUGGUAUAAACUAGAUGCAAUGAUCCCUAAUGUAAAUUAUCCUAAUAUACAGACUAUAUGAAUGGAAUAGAUUUUAGCAGAAUUUCACACAAUUUGCAACAAUUAUAACAUAAUUAAACUAGGACAAUUACUUUAAUUAAACUUAAUUUAUAAUCAUCAUGAUUAAUAAUAUUCGGAAAAACAUUCCAUGGCAACUCGAUCUUUCAUGAGUUUGGAAACCAAAUUAGGUCCUUUCGGAAUCAUUUCCUUACUAAACACACAUUUUACUGAUCCUUAUUUACUAAGGGUUUCUUAGCAUUCGUGUGAGGUAAUAGGGACGUGUUAAGUUUGAAACAAUUUAAUCACACAAAUCUAAAAACUAUGCAAAUAACAGAGCUUGGUUAGGGUUGUUAUGCAACCUACAAUUUAAUCGGGUUAGGAUCUAAAUUGAGCAUGCACAUUUCAAUUAUGCGUCCAUUAGCCGUCGUCUGGUUAGGAUCGCUCGGCUAAUUCAGGUGCAUUUCAAUCACGUAUGAAUGAAAUAUAGACUUGAUUUUAAUUGAAAACAUGAUUGACUGAGGCACAAACAUUAUAAGCAUGAAUCAAAUAAAUGUUAUUUAAUUAAAAUAAUCAUCCUAGCUUAAAUAAAAUUAAGCUAUCAUUAUUGUAAAUAAGAACAAAGAACACAUAGCAAACAUCUAUGUAUUAAAUAAAAAGAAAAGAAAAACUAAACCCAAUUCAGAGUGGCUGUCACCCAAAACUCUGAUUGAUGAAGCUCCUUCGUUCCUUUACUUUGCUCCUAUGCUGAUGGCUCUCCAAGGUGGCCGACCAAGGGCUCUUUAAGAGGGUAAUUUGCUAAAAAUCCUUAUACAAGGAUGAUGCUCGGCGUGAGGGGGAAAAGCUAAGAGUGUUGAGAGAGGAGAGAAUGAUGAGGGAUGAGGGAUGAGGGAUGAGGGAUGAUUGAAAAAGUGAGAAAUGAGCUCUUAUUUAUAGGUGAUGUAAGGGAGCUAGUUUGCUAAAAAUAGUAGUGUCCAUCCUUUGAAACCUCCUCCAAGAGUGGUCGGCCAUGAAUUGAGGAAAUGUGGCUGAUUUUUCCUUGAUUUUUGGUCAAUUUGAAUGCCACAACAACUCAGGACUAAGACUCGAUCUUCAGCAAAUCUUCAGGAAAACUCUGAUUUCUUUGACUCUUUAAAGGCCUUAUGCAAUUAAACCAAAAUUUGGUUUAUAAUCAGCCAUGUGCAGCCAAAUAUUGGAUUGACUUGGUCCCCACUUUGGACGGUUUUGCAAUUAGAAGAAAAACUCUCAGACCUGUAAAAAAUAACAGAUAGUUUAGAGGACCAAAUGAAUUAAUUUAACCACUUUUAUUAAUCAAUUUACUUAUUUAAUUAAAUCCAAUUUUAUUAAUGAAAUAUUUAAAAUGAAUUAUUAAAUAUUUUAUUAUUUAAUUCCAUCAUGCAUUGCACACUUCAUAGCUUAAAAGUAUAAUAUACUUAAAUUAAUAUAAAAUAAGCUAUUUUAUGCAUGAAAACUAUAUAAUAAAACAUAAAAUCACAUUUUAAUAAUUUCUAUGUCCUAAUUUCAUAUUUUCACAUAUUUCAUUAAUUUAUUAAAUAAUUACUUGGUUUUAACAACAAUUUUAAGUAAAAAGGUGAUGAAUUAUAUAGGAAAAAUCCUAUAUAUUUUUCUAUUUGCAUCCAUGUGUUUUGUUUACUUGGUUUGGGUUUGCUGUUUCAACUUUAUUUGCUUUGUUUGUUGAUAAAAUGCCUAGUUUGAAUUAAAAAAAGUUAGCAAAGAAAAACGUGUUUAGUAUAAAAUGCGAUUAAAAAUAUUAAAUUGUUAAAGAAAAACACAUUCGAUGUAAAGUGCUUGUGACAUACUUUUAAUGGCGACUACAAAUGUGGAAGUCACACUAUGGGGGAGACCGACCCAGAGGACCAACAUAUGGUGGAGCUCGACCCAAAAAACUAACCUCUGAACACACGCACUUCACCCAGAAGACAGAUAUACUCUGUCACUUAGAAAUAUUCCAGGUUCUGGGAAUAUAGUUCUGCAUUCAUUAACCUCGCCCUCUGAGUGUUCUCUUUCAUGACAUUCAUUACACCUUUGACAUUCACGUGUUUUGCCUCCAACUAUUUUGCUUGUCUCAACCCCAUUUUUGGCAUCAAGCUUGCCAGCCUGUAAAACGUGGCUAAGAAAAUUGAUGAAAUUGGUAAGUGACAUGUAUGCCUCAAGAUAGAAUUAACGGCCUUAAAGAGGUUGGUCGUCAUAUGACCAUAUCGAUUCCCAUCAUCAAAACAUUUAGCCCAUUUCCACAACUCCAUUCUACCCAACUAUUACCUUAGAGAAGGAUGGAUAGAACCCCUCCAUAUCAGUCUCUAACCUUGCCAGCUUAUGUCUGAAUUGAUGUGGUUCCAACUCGUACCCUAUGUAUGUAUUUUGAUAAAAACACUUUACCAUCCCUUUUAGUAAAUAGAUUUAAAUUAUUUACAUAUACAAAUUUAAAUACGAUAUUUUUACCCAUGUUCACGAUUUGUUUGCGCUAGUCUUUGUUCUUAUACUCAUUGUGGAAGUUGACAAAGUUGUGGCGAAUGUAGUAGAUGGACCUCCAUGGAACCUCGUAUUGCCAAAUUGCAGCAACAAGGUCCUUUGAUCUGUUUAAGACAAUGCAAAUGUUGUUUUUCCUAACAACAUGCCUCCAUAAGUUCCUAAUGAAAAAUUCCCAUGAUUUGGAGUUCUUAAACUCUACGAUGGAGAAAACAAUCGAUAGUACAUUUCGGUUACCGCCUUGCACAACUGCAAUCAGAAGUAUCUGCGUGUAUUUUCCAAAAAGCCACGUUCCAUCAACUUGCACAAGCUGUUUGCAGUAGGAGAAGGCCCUAACAUAUGGAUCGGAAGUCUAGAACAAUUGGCGAAAAACUCUUCUCCCUGGUUCAAGUAGUUCAUUCGGGCCUCUGUAAGGCAACGUUUGCAAGUCCACAACAGUCCUUAGGACGUACUACACCAUCAUUGAAAUCCACCCCUGAAGUUUAUUGUAUGACUCAUCCCAAUCGCCGUACAAUUGCUGCAUGGCCAUUUAUUUUGCCCAUCAUGCUUUCCUGUACUACACUUUGUGCUGCAAUCAAAGUCGACGCAAGAAUAGUUAUGAUUUCCUUCACUAGUGGCAUGAUGCAGAUACUUUUGACAUCCAAUUUCCAGUGGUCUUCAGUCAUACGUACGACAAUGCAUGUAUGACAUCCUUCUCAUUUUUGUAUUUACCACUGUUGAGUCACCUGUAUAAAUGCAGCCCGAACUCGCCAGCUACACCCAUCGUCGGCUCUCCAACAUUCCCUAACAUAUAAUGUCAAUGUAGACUUAGUGACUUUGUAAUUAAUCGACACCUUCAUGCUGUACUAUUUGAUGGCAAACACAUAAUAUGCCUUGUUCUUGAAUCAUAGCGCAACGAACAAUUCUUGCAACUGCAAAUUUGAUGUCAAUUUGUGAGCAGUGACUAUAUCGGCAUACUCAAGGAACUUAGAUGCAUGUGUUGCAUCUAGAUCUACACUCAACAUGUCGCCCCAGGGUCAUUUCGUAAAACAAUGCCACGACUCGAGUUACUGAAAGAAGGGGCGUGAGCAUCUUCAACCUCCUUUAGGACUUCAUCAUUGAUAUCGUUUGGAACCUCAUUAAUAUCGGUGUCACUAAAAUAUUCAAUGUCCUGAUUAGAAUCUUCACCAUUAUUGGUUCCUUCUCCGAUGUCUACCUCAAUACCUAUCACCUCUGGAUGUAAUUUUAGAUAGGGACCAAGGGCAGUGUUGUUAUUCAAACUUACACCAUAAUUUGGAUUUUUAGGCAUCUGCGAUGUCCCUUCGUAGUCUAACUGAUCUGUCCAUUCGACAUUAAGAUCAAAGUCAAAUAUGCGAUGUUGACUUAUUGGACUAACAUUUUUAUUGGGCUCUAAGUCCGUUAACUCAGUAAAUAACUCAACCUAUUGGAGGUUGUAAUGUCCCAAAAUUUCUAAUCCCGUUAUUGUGAAAAUAUGAAACAAAUAUUUUUCAGCUUUAGUGUUUAUGUGUUUUGGGAGUGUUUGGGAGGUCCCAAGUUCAAGCCUUCGCUUGGGCAAAUUUUUGUAUUUUGAAUGAAUUAGGCCUUACUUUUGUUUAGUAGGCUUUUAUUUGAUUGUUGGAUAAAUUACAUCAGAAUGGGUUUGCUGGUCUGGUGGUUAAAUGGUGUGUUAUUAUGGUGGAGGUUUUGUGUUCGAAUCCCUAUGCAGGCAAUGAUAUUAUUUUUGCUCAGAUUUCGGGAUAGAGUUGUGUAAUAGGGAAAUUCUGAGUAGUGGAUGUGUAGUGGGAAUUAGGGGAGAAGAUUAAGGGAUUUUAAGGGUUCUAGAGAUUUUAUUUUAUUUUAUUUUUUCCCCAUAACCAAAUUUUAACUCUCUUUUUCAAAAAAAUUCUGUCGUCUAUUCUUCUCCCUCUCCUCUUGCAAGAAUUCACUGAGUUUUUCCAUCUUUCUCUUCUUUUUCUUCUUCUUGAGUUUUCCCUAAUCCAUUUCUUUUUCUUCGUUUUCGUAUGCGUUUAGUGCUCGCUUAGUUUCGGUAAAUGUUUCGUUAUGGUCACUACGAGUUCCUAGUGAUGCCAUUUGGACUGACUAAUGCACCGGUAGCUUUCAUGGAUCUGAUGAACCAAGUGUUUCAGCCCUAUCUAGAUCAGUUUGUAGUGGUUUUCAUCGAUGACAUAUUGGUUUAUUCGAGGAUUGAGGAUGAGCAUGACGAGCACCUUAGCAUUGUUGUUCAGAUUUUGAGGGAAAAACAGCUUUAUGCUAAGUUCAGCAAGUGCGAGUUCUGGUUACGUGAAGCAACAUUUCUCGGUCAUAUGGUGUCUGCUGAGUGGAUUCAAGUCGAUCCUCAAAAAAUUGAGGCAGUAUUGGAUUGGAAGCAGCCUAAGAAUGUGUCUGAGAUCUGCAGCUUUUUGGGGCUGACAGGUUAUUAUCGACGUUUUAUGGAAAGGUUCUCAUUAAUCGCAGCAUCAUUGACUAAGCUUCUGCAUAAGGGAGUUCCAUUUUUCUAGACUGAUGCGCAACAAGAGAGCUUCGAGAAGCUCAAAACUAUUCUGACUCAGGCUCCUGUUCUGAUAUAGCCUAAGCCCAGUAAGGACUUUGUGGUUUACAGUGAUGCUUCACAUGUCGGUUUGAGGUCUGUAUUAAUGCAGGAUGGUAACUCGUCAGCUCAAAACUAGUGAAGCGAACUAUCCAAUGCACAAUUUGGAGUUGGUCGCCGUAGUCUUUGCAUUAAAAAUUUGGAGGCAUUAUCUGUACGGUGAGAAGUGUAUUAUCUACACCGAUCAUAAAAGCCUCAAGUAUCUCAUCACUUAAAAUGAGUUCAGCUACUUAAGGAUUAUGAUUGUACCAUUUAAUACCAUCCUCGUAAUGCCAAUAUGGUGGCUGAUGCGUUGAGCCGCAGGGCUAUGACCGAUCUAAGAGUGAUGUUCGCUCGACUUAGCAUAUUCAACAAUGGAAGUCUGUUGGCAAAACUUUUGGUCAAACCGACAUGGAUUGAACAGAUUCAAGGUAAACAGUUGGGUGAUAAGUCUCUCAGGUUGCGUUUUCGUCAGGUUAAGAAUGGUGGCACUACUGAUUUUGGGAUAAAUAGUGAUGGGAUACUUUGUUUCCGCAAUCGGAUUUGUGUACAAAAUUAUGAGGAUUUAAGGCAGUCGAUUCUGAGAGAGGCGCAUGGUAGUCCUUAUACUAUGCAUCCCGGUUGGAACAAGAUGUACCGAGAUCUUCGAAAAUUGUACUGGUGGCUAGGGUUAAAGCGUGAGGUUACUAACUUUGUUACUCGCUGUUUGACUUGUCAGCAGGUUAAGGCUGAGCAUCAGUUACCUUCGAGUUUGCUGCAGUGGGUUAAGAUAUCGUUAUGGAAAUAGGAGCGAGUAACGAUAGACUUCGUUAGUGGCUUACCUCUAACACCCACUAAGAAGGAUUAUGUCUGGGUCAUUGUAGAUCGAUUGACCAAAUCUGCUCACUUUAUCCCGGUAAGGACAGACUUUUCUCUUUAGAAAUUAGCUAAGCUCUACAUAUCGAAAAUAAUGAGACUGCAUGGGGUACUUUUCUCGAUCAUUUUUUAUAGAGAUCUUCGUUUCACGUCUCGAUUUUAGAAGAAGUUUCAUGAGGCUCUGGGUUCAAGAUUAGACUUUAGUACUGCUUUCCAUCCUCAGACAGAAAGUCAGCCAGAGAGGGUGAUUCAGAUACUGGAAGACAUGUUGAGGAGCUGUGUUAUUGAUUUCUGAGGUAGUUGGGAGGAGUACUUGCCAUUUGUGGCGUUUGCCUACAAUAAUAGCUUCCAGUCUAGCAUCCUGAUGGCACAUUACGAGUCACUGUACGGUCAUAAGUGUCGCACUCCUUUAUGUUGGACUGAGUUGGGUGGGUGACAUGUUCUAGGUCCUGAAUUGGUGUUAAAGACUGAAGAUAAGGUUAGACUGAUUCGGGAUCGUCCUAAAGCGGCUUCUGACAAGCAAAAGUCUUAUGCGAAUCUGAAGAGAAAGGAUAUCAAGUUUACGGUGGGGGACUUAGUUUUUCUCAAGGUCUCUCCAUGGAAAAAAGUUCUUAAGUUCGGUCGCAAGGGCAAGUUGAGUCCUCGGUUUAUUGGAUCUUACCCCAUUCUGAAACGUGUAGGACCUGUCGCUUAUCAGUUAGAGUUACCUCCAGAGUUGGACCGCAUUCAAGAUGUUUUUCAUGUCUUGAUGUUGAGGCACUACUGCUCUAAUCCCACGCAUGUUGUUUCUGUUGAGGAGAUUGAGGUUAGGUCAGACUUAACCUUUAAGGAGGAGCCGGUUCAAAUUCUAGAGCGUGAUGUAAAGAUCCUUUAGAAAAUGUCUAUUCCUUUAGUAAAAGUUCUGUGGCGUAAUCAUAGCAUUGAGGAGGCCACGUGGGAGCCUGAGGAUGCGAUGCGUUAGAAAUAUCCUCAUCCGUUCUGAUCAAGUAAAAUUUCAAGGACGAAAUUUUCUUUUAGGGGGUAGAGUUGGGGUAGAGUUGUAACGCCCUAAAAUUUCUAAUUUCAUUAUUGUGAAAAUAUGACACAAAUAUCUGUCAGCUUUAGUGGUUAUGUGUUCUGAGAGUGCUUGGGAGGUCCCAAGUUCAAGCCUUCGCUUGGGCAAAUUUUGGUAUUUUGAAUGAAUUAGGUCUUACUCUUGUUCAGUAGGCUUUUUCUUCUUCAUGAUUUUUCCCUAAUCGAUUUAUUUUCCUUCGUUUUCGCAAGCGGUUAGUGCUCGCUUAGUUUCGGUAAGUGUUUCUCUUCGUUUCUAUCAUGAAUCUCUUAGUGGCUGAAGUCAUAAUGUUUUUCUCUGCGAUUUGGGCAUAGGGGGAGGCUCGGACCGGUGAAUUCAGUGUUCUCGUCUUAACAAUAGUUAAACGAAGGGUUAUCGUUGGUGGUAAGUUAGGUUUCUGUUCAUUUUUUAUUGUCAAUUCACUUGUAUAUCCGUUAAAUUGAUGUUGAGUAUCUUGAUUUUAGGCCUUGAAGUGCUCAAGGGUGAUUAGUCAUCAAAAAGAUACCAGGAGUGUACCCGAAACGCAAAAAUAAGGGAUUCGGCGAAAAGCCGAAAUUGCUUGUUCUUUGGAUAGCAACAGUAGGCUAACUUUGAAAAAUUGCCAUAAAUUAAUGAAAUCAAAUUAGAGGAUGAACAAAAUAUGGAAUUAAAGCCUAUUGAGUCUAGUUUCUCAUAGAAGAAAUGAUGUAAGUAAUGGAAUUGUAAAUCAUGAGUUAUAAUAAACUUUGUGAGACAAUGUUAGAAUGAAAUCGAGUUCCCCUAUUCUGAGUUUGGAAAAUUAUCAAAAAUUGGGAAAAAAAUGAUUAGGGGUUAAAAUUUACAUGUUUAAAUUAUUAAUGAGUCUAUUUUCAAUAGAAACAAAUGAAAACAUCAUCCAAAUUUUGUACUAAAAGAUAAUUAAUUUUUAGCAAAGAAUGGUUGAAGCUAUCAAACAGAAGAAUAGGGGUAAGUUUGAAGAUUUUACUGUAAUUUUUGGCUAAACCAAAAAUUUUGAAAAUUUUAUGGUAAAAAUUUAUUUGAGUCUAGUUUUAAAGACAUCAAGCGGUUUUUAAUUUGUAAUUCCGUAGCUCAAGAUAUAAAUAAUUUAGUAACAGUGACUCAAGUUGACAGUUUUGAAGGAACAUAUAAGUAAAUAGUGAAAACAUAUAUGAAUAACUAACUAGCACGGGUUACAUUAAAAAUAGAUCAUGUGGCCAAGGCCAAUUUGGGCCGAGUGGGCCACAUAGGCGUGUGAGCCUAGUUUUUUUGAAAAUUUCUGUAAGAUUGCAUGGGUCGCCCAAGUCCACUGUGGACCUACUGUAGGGUUGAUAAGCUUUACUUAGACCCCUAUAUGUGUGAUUUGUCUGUUUGAUUCCCAUACCGAGCAUCACUUAUGAUAUCUGAAUGUAUGUACUAUUAAUUGCAUAAUGACAUGACAUAUUUUGUAUAUUGCACUGCAUCGGGUGAGUUGGUGUUAUUUAGAGGGUGUGUCUGAAAGGCUAUUACGCCUAUCAUCUGGCAGCUCAGCUGCAACCUUCUGAUUAUGUGCCGCAUCUCGAUACAACAUGGUGUGUAGGGAUGGGUGGAUUGAUUUAAUCCCCAAAUGGUGUGUAGGGUUGGACGGAGAUGGUGUGUAGAGGUUGGUGGGUAGGAUUCUGAUUUAUUGGAUCUGCAUUCUAUAUCUAAUAUGGGCCAAGGCCCUAAUGUAUUUUUGAAUCUGUAUCUGAAUGGGCUAAGGCCCAAACUGAUUCUGUGAUGGGCUAAGGCCCUAGACUGUAUCUAACUGAAUUAUGUUGAAUAUCUGUAUGCAUGUUCUCUGUGGGGAUUAUACACUGAGUUUACGAAAACUCACCCUUUCUGUUUAAUUUGUACAGGUAAUCCCGAGACUUGACGGGUCAGUGCAGCGGAGGACUCGACGAUGGCCACACGUAAAUUUUAGACUGCUUUCCAUUAAUGCAUAUAAUUUAUUACUUAUUUGGGGUUUUUGAUGUAAUUUGGAUUAUGGACUGGUUGGUUUUAAAUUUGGGACUUUAUACUGUUUUUAUAGUUUUUUUAAACUGCAACUCAAGAAAACACGAUUUUUCUAAAAACUAAGGUUUUCGUAAAUAGAAAUGGUUUUUCCUAAAUUAAUUGGUUACAAAAGCUUCCGCUAAGAGACAAGUUUUAAAGCAAAUCAACUAGUUUUUUUUUUCUGAACUAAAUAAAAGCUAACUUACUGUAACGGUUUUUAAACUCGACAAUCUUGUUUUCAAAUCCCUUUCCAUAUGACAUCGCUAGAUUUGGUCAUAACGUCUAGGCCGGGUUUGGGGUGUUACAGAUGUUCUCACUCCCAGUCGACCACCAUAUUUCCAUCAUAGUGCCGAAGUCAUCAUCAUCUAACAGUUGCAUCUCAAAAAAUUUCAAUAGAUCUGUAGAGACUGGAAACUUGUAAAAUAAUCUGGACAUCGCCCUUCCACAACAUAUAACUAUUUUCGCACUGAUCUUCAUUUUCAUUUCUUCCAGCUUCAAAGUUUUACUGAAUUGCAACCCUACUCUUUGUCAGCUUUGAAAUACACAACCAACAUCACCUUCUACAAUUUUGCCAUAAAAAGAACGUACACCAAAAGCAUUGAGUUAUUCAUCUUUACCAGAAUUUUUGAGCUCUCCUACUAAACACAACAAUUUCUUUUUCUUCUCUUCCAGUUCAACUAUUACAAAAAAAACCUCAACAAUAUCUAUAUAUGUAGGAAAACCAAGGUGGUGGAGCCAUUCUUAAUGGCUCCACCAAAAUAAAAUAUCAUUUUUAAAAUUUUUAGAUUAAAAAAAACGACACAUUUAAAAAAAAUCCAUACAGUACACUGGUGGUGCCAUUCUAUAUGGCUCCACCAAAUAAAAUAUUACUUUUUAAAUUUUUAAAAUAAAAAAAUAACACAUUUAAAAAUAUAUUAUACAUAGUAUACUGGUGGCGCCAUUCUAUAUGGAUCUGCCAAAUAAAAUAUUGUUUUUUAAAAUUUUUAAAUUUAAAAAAACACAUUUAAAAAAAACUCCUACUAAUAAAAUGGUGGCGCCAUUUAGAAUGGCUCCACCAAUAAGAAAACAUUUUUUAUAGUUUUAAAAUUAAAAAAAAAAUAACAUUAACACAUACAAAAAUGCUGGUGCCAAACUCUAUGGCUUCACCAAAAAAGGAUUAUUUUUAAAGCCCCCAAUUUUUCAGAAAUAGCAAUAUUUCUCUAGUAUUUAUACAGGUGGCAUUAUUCUACAUGACUCCACCAAAAAAUGAAUUUUUUUUUAUUUGGUUUGCUGACGUGGCAUGUUGUUGGUGCCAAAUUCUUUGGCUCCACCAAUUUUUAUUGUAAAUUUUGAGUCAUUUACAUGUAUAAUUAAAAAAGUGGGUCAUUUUUAUAAUUAAUUAAAAUUUUAAGGCCAUUUGUGUAAAAGAAAAAAACCCUGUUUUUACUUGGGAAUGUGGUAGAAGGUCUAGUUUGUUUGGUAAGGAAUGUCUCGAUAGGGCCUUCGUGAAUAUAGGUCAGACUCGACGCUUUCCAUAUCACAAAAUCUAUAAUCUUACAAGUGCUACUUGGAUCAUUAUUGAUGAUAAGUAGUAUAAAUUAAUUUAUUUAAGGAUUUUACAUAAAAAUAUUAAAAGAUAAAAAUGUUAUUGUAAUAAUAUUUGUUAUUUUAAAAUGUCACUUACCAUUCCAACUAGUGUCUAAGACCCUGUUAACUAACUUCCAAAAUAAGAAUAUUGUUGGUUAGGAUCUACAAAACGGUCUUCUUAAAGCUAUCCUCCAGACCUUAACAGGAGGAUAAUUCUCUCCACUCGACCUCUCUCUUUAUGACGCUCCAAAAUCAUUUUUGACCAUCCAUUCUUAAACCACGUAUCAACUGUGAUAUAAUAUAAUCUUAACUUAUCAAUCAAACACAAAAACAUCUUAUCAAUAUUGUCUACCAAAUUUAAAACUAGAUACUAUAAUUUAUUUCAUAAUAAUGUGGACCACAACAUUAUUGUUAGUGUACUAAAGCCCAACUUUUAGAUUGAGUUUGGAUAGGCGGUACGUUUAUCUGCAAUUAAUGUAAAAAUAGCAGUUAUGAUGAGAUUAGAUAUUGUAUCGAUACUGUAGUGUGAGACAAAAAGUAAGCUAAACGUAUCGCAUUGCACCCCACCACCCAUCCAAAUCCACCCUUAGUUUUUAAUUGAAUUUGUUGAUUUGAGAAAAUUAAAAUACAUGUAUAAAAAAUUUAAUAGAGAAAUAAAUUCAAUUAUUUUUAUUUUAUUCUAUUUUAUUAAAGAUUGGAUUAUCUUUUAUCAAACAAUCUAAUUAUACUCAAUAUUUAAUUUUAACUAGUAUAUCAAAUAAAUUUUAUAACUUAAAUUCAACACUUAAUUUUUUAGUGUUUAGUUUUUCAAUUUAUCGAACAUUGCCUAAAUAACACGUAUUUCCAUAAAAUUUUCAAACAGGAAAAAAACAUGAAAACUAUUUUUUUUUAAACUAUUCGUUAGAUGCAUUCAUGAGUCAUCCGGGCUGAAUUUAAGUAGGAUAUUAAUAGACUUUAUACUUGUACAAGCUCAGCCUAGCUUGAGUUGAAAUAUGAGUCCAAAAUUUUGUCCAAAUUUCUCAUAUUUGCAAAUGGUUGACCAAAUCCAUUUUAAGCUACCAUAUUUUUCAAACUUUUUUGAAAAAUAUUUAUAUUACUUUUUUAGUAUAUUUCAUUUUCAUUUUACAAUCAAUGUUUGGAGUUUAUAGUUGUGUCCCUCUUAAAAAUGUCGUCUCCAAGAUUCAAACACACAUUUAUCCAAACUUAUUUUGGGCCUAAUAUUAUUAUCUAAACAUUCCAAAUUUCUCAGUGAACAUUCAAGUUUGAAUGAAUAAUCCAAUUCUUAAACAAAUCUACUAUUCAUAACUUCUAAUCCUUAAACAAAUUCACAUUCAAACCCAAAAUAUCUAAAUUAUUACGUUAACUAAGGUUCCAACGAGUUUUGUCGAUAUCCUUAAUCCAAUUUAUAUAAUUAAAAAGAUAUAAUGACUUUUUUGGCUCUCCAACUUUCUAAAAAAGUAAUUUUGACCCUCUAUUUAUAUUGUCUUUUCGUCCUUAAACUUGUAUUUUUUUAUCAAAUCACCCCAAAAUAGGUGGAAAAGUUAAUGUUUGUUACAUUUGUUAAUGUGGCAUACACGUGGAUAACAUGCCAAUAUUUAAUUAAUUUUUAAAAAAAUUAAAAACAUAAAAAAAUUACAUUUUUAUAUUUUUAGCCAUUUAAUUUUAGAAAUAAUUUUUAAAAUUUUAAAAAAUUAAUUUAAUGCUGACAUGUCAUCCACGUGGCAAUCCACGUGUAUGCUACGUCAGCAAAGUUACAAAUGUUAAUUUUUCAAUCUAUUUUGAGAUGACUUGAUAAAAAAAUACAAAUUUAGAGGUUUGAACAGGGGCAUAGCUAGGGGCUGGCAAGGGCCUUGACCCCCUAAAAUGGAAAAUUUUCUACUUAGGCUCUUUAAAAUUUUAAAAUUUUUAUUUAAAUUAAUAAAGGUAAAAUUAUCCUUUGGUCUCCCUAAAAGUGAUAAAAAUUUGAUUUAAUCCUUUAGAAAUUAUAAAUAUAUAAACUAUUAAAAUGAUAAAAUUAUAUUUUUAUUAUCGUAAAAAUUAUAAUUUAAUUUCGCCCCAAUAAAAAUUUUCUAGCUUCGUCUCAUAUUAGAAAGGCUGAAAAGUUAAAUAAAAGGAUAAAAAGGAUAAAAUGACUUUUUUUUUUUUGGUAAUGUUAUAAGAUGAUUAUAUGAAUUAAAAAAAUACUACACCGAUAUAAAAUUUUAAUUCUCAGAUAUUCUAAAUUUUAAUUACUAUCUUAUCUAUGAUGUUUCCUACGAAGUUUAAAAGUAUGGGUUAUGGGUCGUUUCCACUUCACAAAUCUUAAGCAAAAAGUUGGCAGCAGUCCCCAUAAUGUAUCCAAGAUUCAAUGGUGGUCCACACAAGAAUCAAAAGUGAAUCAGAGCCACCAAUUCCCAAUCAUAUGAAAUCAGGCCAGACCCUAAAUUCAGUUUCUACCGUUGAUUCAUGCUGCGUCACCCGAUAUUACGGACCCUAUGUGUCUUAAACCAACAAAAUGUGGCAUUAUCUGCCGUCCUACCGCCCCUUAAAAUCAUCCACCUGUCCCCUUGUCUGCCCCUUGCGUGGACGUCUAAGUAGCCUUACAAACAAAACACUAAAUCCUUUUAUCCUAUGUCUUAAGCCGAAAGGAUCGGACACGUGAAUGUUCCCUUCUAAACACGUGCCUCUAUCUCAUUCGGUAUCCUAUUUUUUAGUCCCUCACUCUAAAAACACGCGUUCACGACACUUAUUUAAUCUAACCGCCCAUUCUCACGUGAGUCCGACAAUCGUAGCCAUUGCCUCUUGGAUCGCCCCUCCUCUCGCCAUGUAGCGAAAUGACACGUGUCGAUAAGCUAAUAAAUUACAAAAAUUUAACAUAAAUCAUGAAAUAUUUUGUUCUAAGUUUUUAAAAACUCAAAAAUUAUAAGAAAAAAACUUAAAUUAACUUACCAAAUGAGCUUGGAACCUCAAAAUCUAAAUUUUCCCUUUUCUUUCUUUCUUUCCUUCUUUCCUUCUCUGUUUCGUUUGCCUAUUCUAUUUCUAUUUCUCUUUUUCUAUCUUUUAUUUCUUUUAUUUAAUUAGUUUAAUAUAAUAACAAUAAAAUAAUAAUAUAAUAUUAUUUACUUAAAUAAUAAGUAAAGAUAUAAUAAUUACUAAUAUAUGUAUUUCAUUUUUCCACAUGUCAUUAUAUACAUCAUACAUUUGUCAACUUUUUUGUUUAUUUAAAAUAAUAUAAUAUAAUAUAUAAAUAUCUUUUACUUAAUUAGUAAGUAUGUAUAUAUAUUAAUUACAAAUGUAUACAUAUAUUUAUUAGACAUGUAUUUAUAAUUACUACACACUUGUCACUUUUUAUGAUUUAAUUAUUAGUUUAGUCCUUUCAUCUUUUCUAUUCUAAAAUAAACUUUCACACUUAAUUCAAUUUAGUCCUAACACUCAAUCAACUUUAAUUCAACUAAAUUCACUUAACUAAAAUCCUAUUAAUCAUAUAACUAAUUCUAUAAAUAUUUUAAAUAAUUAUUUUACGAGUCCGUUGUACCAAAACGGAGACUCGAUAAUUCACUUUCCAAUACCUUCAAGCCUCAGCUAACAUUCAAAGUGAGAAACAUCUCCAACUCAGGUUGAGUUUGGAUUAGCAGUAUGUUUACCUGUGGUUAAUGUAAAAAUAACAGUGGCGGCAAGAUUAGAUACUAUAACGAUCGUGUAACGUGAGACAAAAAAGUAAGCUAAACGCACCGCACCGCACCCAAUCGCCCAUCCAAACCAACGUUCAAUAAAUUUACACAAAGCAAAAAAGAAAGAAAAGGGUGUAAGAUUCAUUUCCUUUUUUCUUCUCAUCUCUGACAGGUAAUCGGAAAAGGCAAACAGUUCGAAUAAAUAGAAAAUGGCGUUGAAUUUGGCGCAUCAGAUUGGUUCUCUAGCCGGGACACAAAUUGCAGCUGAAGUCACCACCGGAGAACAAUCAUCCUCAGCGACGGCUGAUGUGUCGGGAGUUCGGAAAGUUCCAUUGGCGAAUCUCCGAUGCAACGCCCCAGGAGAAGCUCUGUCCCCUCCAAUAUUAACUCCACCGUAGACGCCGCGAAGCGCGGCAAACAGGUCGGCUAUGAUGAGUCCGUCGCUGCGUCCGGAUCUGUCCGCCGCUUGCCAGGCUUUCGGGACGUUAUCGCCGCUGGAGACGGCUGAGGAGUCAUCGGCGUCUGUGGCGUGGAAGGAGGGAGGGAAGAAAGAGGAGAAGAAAGGGGUUCCGGUUUACGUGAUGAUGCCGUUGGAUAGCGUGACGAACGGGAAUACGGUGAAUAGAAAGAAGGCGAUGAAUGCGAUGAUUGACGUUUGGUGGGGUCUGGUGGAGAGGGAAGCGCCGGGUGCGCUUACAAUUGGGGUGGCUACGCGGAGCUUCUCGAGAUGGCUAAGAAGCAUGGCCUUAAAGUCCAGGCUGUCAUGUCAUUCCAUCAGUGUGGGGGCAACGUCGGUGACUCUUGCACGUUCGUAUCUCCUCCUUACCUCUCCCUUCUUUUUCUUCAAGAUCCCGUUACUCGGCUUAUGAAAAUUUUAUUUAAAAAAAUAGUAAUUUUAAAUUAAUUUUUGUGGGGAUGGGAUCCCUUUUUGAAAAUCAAGAAGAAAGAAAGUUUACACGUUUGAUUAAUUACUGAUUACAAGUCAAUCAUUUGCUUAUUUUUGAAUUUGAAAGAGACAAUCAGAUGAACCACCGUUUUUAAAAAAAAAAUUAGAUGAAGGGAUAACGUAAGCUUUCAUUGCAUCUUUUUACAAAAGUUGGGUAAAAAGGGGACCGAAAGAAGUUAAAUUAUAAAAAUUAAAG
rnacentral:lncRNA from 1 species